UCCAGACUCCUACGGGAGGCAGCAGUGGGGAAUAUUGCACAAUGGGGGGAACCCUGAUGCAGCGACGCCGCGUGGGUGAAGAAGUCAUUCGUGACGUAAAGCCCUAUCAGCAGGGAAGAAAAUGACGGUACCUGACUAAGAAGCCCCGGCUAACUACGUGCCAGCAGCCGCGGUAAUACGUAGGGGGCAAGCGUUAUCCGGAUUUACUGGGCGUAAAGCGCUCGUAGGCGGUAUGUCAAGUCAAGGGUGAAAGCCCCGCGCUCAACGUGGGAACUGCCUUUGAAACUGGCAAACUGGAGUGUGUGAGAGGAUAGUGGAAUUCCAGGUGUAGGAGUGAAAUCCGUAGAUAUCUGGAGGAACAUCAGUGGCGAAGGCGACUAUCUGGCACAUAACUGACGCUGAGGAGCGAAAGCGUGGGUAGCAAACAGGAUUAGAUACCCCUGUA
rnacentral:rRNA from 1 species